AUUGAACGCUGGCGGCAUGCUUUACACAUGCAAGUCGGACGAGUGGCGGACGGGUGAGUAAUGCUUGGGAAUCUGGCUUAUGGAGGGGGAUAACGACGGGAAACUGUCGCUAAUACCGCGUACCAUAGGAUGAGCCCAAGUGGGAUUAGGUAGUUGGUGGGGUAACGGCUCACCUAGGCGACGAUCCCUAGCUGGUCUGAGAGGAUGACCAGCCACACUGGGACUGAGACACGGUCCAGACGCCUACGGGAGGCAGCAGUGGGGAAUAUUGCACAAUGGGCGCAAGCCUGAUGCAGCCAGGCCGCGUGUGUGAAGAAGGCCUUCGGGUUGUAAAGCACUUUCAGCGGGGAGGCGUUACCCGCAGAAGAAGCACCGGCUAACUCCGUGCCAGCAGCCGCGGUAAUUC
rnacentral:rRNA from 1 species